CCUACGUGAGGCAGCAGUGAGGAAUAUUUGUCAAUGGGCGGGAGCCUGACCCCGCCAAGUCGCGUGAGUGAAGACGGUCCUAUGGAUUGUAAACCUCUUUUGUCGGGGAGCAAAAAUGCCUCGUGGGGCCACACGUGAGAGUCCCCGAAGAAAAAGCAUCGGCUAACUCCGUGCCAGCAGCCGCGGUAAUACGGAGGAUGCGAACGUUAUCCGGAUUGAUUGGGUUUAAAGGGUUCGGAGGCGGACUGGACAUGCAGCGGUAAAAUCGAGAGGCUCAACCUCUUUCCGCCGUUGAAACUGUCGGUCUUGAGUGGGCGAGAAGUAUGCGGAAUGCGUGGUGUAGCGGUGAAAUGCAUAGAUAUCACGCAGAACUCCGAUUGCGAAGGCAGCAUACCGGCGCCCGACUGACGCUGAGGCACGAAAGCGUGGGUAUCGAACAGGAUUAGAUACCCCUGUAGUC
rnacentral:rRNA from 1 species